GUGAGUCAUCGAAUCUUUGAACGCACAUUGCGCCCCCUGGCAUUCCGGGGGGCACACCUGUUCGAGCGCCAUUUCGACCCUCAAGCACGGCUUGGUGUUGGGCGCGGUCGUUACCGACCUGCCCGUAACUCGUAGGCGGCCGCCGCCCGCGCCCCCAGCGUAGCAAGCUCACGCGUUCGCUCGGGGACGGUGCGCGCCUGGCCGCCCACAACACUUCAAGGUUUGGCCUCGGAUCAGGUGGGGAUACCCGCUGAACUUAAGCAUAUCAAUAAGCGGAGGA
rnacentral:misc_RNA from 1 species